GUGCUCACUUUGGCAGCACAUACGCCCAAGCUGGAACAAUACAGAGAUGAUUAGCAGCUGCCAAGCAUGACACACAUGUUCGUGAAGCGUUCCAGACUUUU
rnacentral:snRNA from 1 species